rnacentral:rRNA from 1 species
GCUUACCAUGCAGUCGAGCGGUAGCACAGGGGAGCUUGCUCCCUGGGUGACGAGCGGCGGACGGGUGAGUAAUGUCUGGGAAACUGCCUGAUGGAGGGGGAUAACUACUGGAAACGGUAGCUAAUACCGCAUAACGUCGCAAGACCAAAGAGGGGGACCUUCGGGCCUCUUGCCAUCAGAUGUGCCCAGAUGGGAUUAGCUAGUAGGUGGGGUAAUGGCUCACCUAGGCGACGAUCCCUAGCUGGUCUGAGAGGAUGACCAGCCACACUGGAACUGAGACACGGUCCAGACUCCUACGGGAGGCAGCAGUGGGGAAUAUUGCACAAUGGGCGCAAGCCUGAUGCAGCCAUGCCGCGUGUGUGAAGAAGGCCUUCGGGUUGUAAAGCACUUUCAGCGAGGAGGAAGGUGGUGAACUUAAUACGUUCAUCAAUUGACGUUACUCGCAGAAGAAGCACCGGCUAACUCCGUGCCAGCAGCCGCGGUAAUACGGAGGGUGCAAGCGUUAAUCGGAAUUACUGGGCGUAAAGCGCACGCAGGCGGUUUGUUAAGUCAGAUGUGAAAUCCCCGGGCUCAACCUGGGAACUGCAUUUGAAACUGGCAAGCUAGAGUCUCGUAGAGGGGGGUAGAAUUCCAGGUGUAGCGGUGAAAUGCGUAGAGAUCUGGAGGAAUACCGGUGGCAAAGGCGGCCCCCUGGACGAAGACUGACGCUCAGGUGCGAAAGCGUGGGGAGCAAACAGGAU